AAGUCGUAACAAGGUUUCCGUAGGUGAACCUGCGGAAGGAUCAUUAUCGAGUUUAUUGGACGGGUUGUCGCUGGCCUUUACCGGCAAUGUGCACGCCUGGCUCAAUUUUCCACUCUUUAACCACUGUGCACUUUUUGUAAGAUUGGCUGUAGGGGAAUUAUAUUUUUACUCUCUUGGUAACACAUGAGACGAAAGUAUAUAUUGCCUGAAGGCCUCUCUUAUGUUUACUACAAACGCUUCAGUUAUUAGAAUGUCAUACUUGUGUUAUAACACAUUUAUAUACAACUUUCAGCAACGGAUCUCUUGGCUCUC
rnacentral:misc_RNA from 1 species